AAACUCUUUACAGAAGUUCAAUGUUUGCUCUGAGAAGUUGAAUGAACAAAUUUAUUAAAUGAUAAAGCAUAUCCUUGAAAGAUAUGCUGGUAUUAUUGGCACAAUGGGCAAGCAUUGAAGUGCAACUUGGUGAAAUACAAAACACAUCAAAUUCAGUUAUAAAAAUUUGAGUAACAAAGGUCAAUUAUUUGGCACAAUUUGGAGUUAAAGACAAAGGAGAUUGUAUAUGUUAUUUACUAAGAAUUG